rnacentral:lncRNA from 1 species
CUUUCCACAAGUUGGGUGCAGUACAAUUGAAGAAGGGGAUUCUGAGGCCUUUCAUCUGUCAGAGUUAGCGUAGGGCUGGCUGUGGAGCUGGAAGUGGGGCAUCUGUCACAGAACCCCCCGAAAGCUGUUGAGACUUGGGAAGAAGAUUGGGACAAAUGAGUUUCAUGGGCUCCUGCUGCUGGCUGGAGCCUGUGUCCCCAGGUCCAGGCCUAAGGAGGAGAGGACUUCAGAACUGACCACCUUCAAGUCUCCUGCUGGCGGGAGCUUCCAUGUCUCUCUCGGGGACCCAGUGUCCCCACAGGCUGGCCUGGCACAGGCCUCAUGGCUGUGGGCUGGUGCUGGCACCCACUCCUGCCUGCCUCGCUCCUGCUUUUCACCUGUCCCCAUGCCCAUGAAAGGGUCAGCAUCCACAGCUGCAGCCACCAAGCCCAACCUCUGGGACAAAGACGUGUCUUGGUUUUGGCCUUUGGGGCUGGGCAGCCCAGGUGUUGUCACUCAGACUGUUCAAGGACCUCUAGGGCUCCCCUUUCCCACUGUGGCCAAGAAGACCUACAUUUCAGGGCCCAGCACAGCAGACACUUUCACCUUCUAAGCCUCUCAUAACCAGCUUCAGCCAAAAUGACCCCUGUCCACCCCAGCCUCCUCUUCUGCAUUUUCCAACUUGCCUGGCAUCUCCAGGACCCGGGAACCUUAGCACAUCUCUACCUGCCUGCCUACAACGUCCCCAAGAUGCGGGACAGUGGCCCCUUGCCACCCCUUAAAUUCUCUCUUGCCCCCAAGGCACCUGGGACAAACCUUGUUCUUAAGAAGAGUAGAACAAAUAUUCAUAAAAUGAAUUAAUGUCCAAGCUCUUUCUUUCCCUAUAGAGUCCUUGCUUCUCUGCCUCUCUCCCUUCUUCUCUCUCUCUUUCUGUCUCUGUCUGUUUCUCUCACCCUCCAUCCUUAUCUAAAGCUGGCAGAAAAAGAGACUUUAUUUAAACCCAGGGGCAGGAACUUGAUAAGGCAGCUUUAACCAUCAAGGAUCAUUACUUUUAAUAUUUCUCCCACACUCCGCAGUAGAUCUGAGCCAAAAGAUGGAGAAAGGAUUCCCCUGCUCUGGAAUAUGGGAAGAUUUGGGGAAGCCAGUGUGCAGAGGACAGGCUUCCACCACGAACCUGGACAGGGCCUGGAAAGAGAUCUUGGGACUAAAUGUGUAGGUACACACUUCUCCUGUUAAAUGCUUCUGGGAGAGUGUGUGUGUGUGUGUGUGUUUUGUUUGCUGCAAUAUCAUAUUGCAGUUCAUAUUGAUGGGAGAAGUUUGCAGUUGGUCCCCCACUUAACUGGAGAGUGACCUCCAAAGAAGAGCCACUGUGAGAGACUUUGGAGCAGCAGAUCUACAGAUGGCCCUUGGGGUGUGGGGACACCACAGUUAUUGAAACACAGAGCCUCCUGCAGACUGCACCGGCUGCGCCCUCCAGGGCCCAGGCUUGGUCCCUCUUCCCAUGGUGCAUGGGAAUCUCUCCACACACAGGGCUGUGCUGCUCUACUGAGUCAGCGUAGAGUGCUUGAUGGCACGAGGAGAGCGGGGCCGGCCAACGUCAUUGGAUGAAGGCUUCAGUCGUGUUUCCACAAAACAUAGACGUGUUCUCCUUUGUCGAUCCUCAGUAAGGGCACACCAAUGUGAUUUCUGUUAUUAAUAUAUGCUCUUCAGUUAUUCACAAAAGGUGAUGUGUCCCAGCACUAUUACCAUCUGUGAAGGCUUGUUUUGCUUUCUAUCUCUUAAUCAGAUGUCCUCAAGUUCAAAGAAGCAGUUUAUUAUACAUGUUUGGUCAUUGAUGCAACCACCGAAGACAUCAUUGCUUUCUAGUGAAGGGAAGCGUCAUUCCUUUUUAGUGAAAAAUCAUUAAAUUUGGAGUCAGAGUCCCCACCGCUCUCACUAAGAACCUGUUUCCAUGUGUUUGUGUGUGAGACACUCAUUGAUUACUUCAGCUCCUUCUCAGAUAGAGUUCAGAAAAGCACCUCAGAUUUAAUGAGGAAAAUGCAGGCAUAUGAACUCCUAAUGGAGUAAGGAGAAGAUGAGAGACCAUUGUGCUUCUCAGGUGACCAGAAACUCCUGUUAUUUUAGUGUAAUACUGUCAGCCUCCCAUUUGUUCACUCCAAGAUCAUUUAUUAAAGAAGAUGGAGAAGGAAAGCAACUUGAGCUGAGCACUUUCAAGGGGCACAAAACUGAGUGCAGCAGCUCUAAAAAUCAGGCCCCCAGACCACCUGCAUCUGAAUCACGGGGUUUGUGUGCUAACAAUGUGCAUUUGUGAGUGUGGCCUAGAUUUAUGCUGCCUUUACUGCCCAUGCUACAGAAACACCGCCUGGUGGGUAACCUGGACAAGUCAAGUGAAAUCCUAGCCCAGCGUCGUAAGUGGUGUGUAAGGGAACAGCCACUGAAAACCAAGAUGAUGGCAAACACUUGCUCAUGAUCUGUCACAGGCCUGCACCGAGUGCUGCAGGUGUGAACUCCUGUAAUGCUGCAACAACCAUUCUAGGUGGUGUCUGCUGUCAGCCUCAUUUUGUGGGUGGGGAAACUGAGGCACAGAGAGGUCAAGUAACUUUCCAAGGUCACACAGUUGGAAGGCUGAGGGGAUGCUAAACACAGUGGUCUAGCUUCAGAGUCCAGGAUCUUGAGUGCUAGGCUACCCGGCCUCUGCUGGGGUGUUAGAAGGAAGACCCUCUGUGUUAGAAGGAUAACUAACCACUUAGAAAAUUCAGUCUUUGAAGGUUUGGCUUGAGUUGUAGAUUUACAAACUGGGACUGAAAUUUGGAAAUACUGGACCCGAUGAAAUUAGAGAGAAAGAAUGGUUUGAUUGGAAGAGAGACAAACAAAGGUAUGCAGGACCUUUAUAAGGAAAUAAGUAAGAAUGUUUCCCUUGGAAGAAGCCCUGGGGUUCCAGUCUGAAACUACAGUUGAAAGAAGGAGAGGACCAGCUGAACCUACCUGGGGCCCCAUGGAUGCUUCUUCAGCCCAAGGAAACAAUUUCAUGCUCCUCCAAGAGAUGGCGCUGGCGUUUCUGAAACCAGAAUGGGCAUCUCUCAUUCCAAAGCUCCGCAGAAGUCUUUGGGCUCCUAUUUUGUUUGUAUGAUUGCUUCAAACUUGGAAAACCUUUACCUCUGUUCCACCAUAGUAGGGAAAAUACACUCCUCUGCUGGUAUUAGGUUGACCAGGCAACUGGCCAUAAUCAAAGCUUUUAAAGCUAAGUGUCUAUAGAUCUGUAGGCAGGAACUGAGAAAGAGAACUCAUUCCGGUUGAGUAUCCACCAGGUGAGGAGUUGCACAAACCCCUAAUCUUCUCGACCAUGAUUCUGUUGAAUAGGUUAUUAUUUUUUUAAUCCUGAAAUCAAGGCUCUGAGUGGUGAGACUGCUUGCCAAGCGACAUGGCCCAUGCAUGCUGGAGCUGGGAUGGAAACCCGGGCAGAUCUGAUGCCUCUGCCAACUCCGUUUCCACCACACCACUCUGCCUUAGAGGAUUGUAAAGAUGUCUGUGCCUAUGAGACGAGCCAUCAGUUAUCAUGUACUCUGAAUAUAAUGCGCCCCCACACCAAAAAAGGGAAGUUGUUAAAUUCCAGGUGCUAAUUUGUUUUCUUAGUAUUUGCUUUUCUCCUGAAGGUGGAAGCCAAUCCGAUUAAUUGAGGGCUUCAAUUAGUUGCGUGCAGGCUAGCUCUAGGGUUUCGUGUGCUUCCUGCUCCAAAUUGCUGUGUGACGAAUCACUCACAAUCCACACAGCUUAAUAUCCCUUACAGGAACAGUCAGUGAGGACUUCCUUUUUAGGAAAUGAAAAGCAAACAGAAAGGUCUUUUAUUUCAAGGUUCUUGAAUUUCUCACCCUCUGGUCCUACUUUACAUCUUCAAAGCUUAAGUGUGAAACAAAGGAAAAGUAGAAGAAAAGAUGUGUAACAGGAGGACCAGAGUUAAGAGACUCACAGAAUCAUUCUCUCUCCCUCCCUCUGUCCCUCUCCCAUUCUCUUUCUUUCAUUCCUCUCUCCUAACCUCCUGUUCUUCCUUCCUUUCUCUUUCUCCUUCCCUCCCUUCCUCCCUUCCUUCCUUCCUUCUUUCCUUUCCUGCCUUCCUUCCUUCCCUUUCUCUCUCUCUCUCUCCCCCUGUCCUUCCUUCUCCUUUCUCUUCCCUUCCUUUCCCUCCCUUCCCUUCUUUCUUUUCCCUCAGUAUGGGGUGAGGAAGGAUUAGUUACAGCCAGCAGAGGCUAUGGAAGCCAAAGCUUCUCCGAUUUAUACGUGCACAUGCGAUCACUCCAGGAUCUGGAAAAGAUACAGACUCUGAGUCGUGGGUCUGAGGUACAGAUGGUGACAAUUACUGGGACACUUAGCUACUUGUUUCUAUGCAGUGCUGGAACCUCAGUGAAUCUUAGCAAAGACCCUGCACUCUUUCCUGUGAGCAGCUGCUGCCAGGGACUAGAGAGAAAUGAGGCGAGACCUGUCUGUUUCACAGAGUCU